AUUGGUAAAUAAAAUCUGUUCUUUUAGGUAUGGGUUGCUCUGGUCUAAGUUGGAUAUUGAAAUGUUUGAGUUUUUUGGUUUGGUGAGUAGUUACUUCUAUCCCUUUUCCAUUAUCUUUUUUGUCAUAUUUUUUUUAGCUAAUUGCUAUCUCAUUAAACUAUUGCAGGUCUAUUUCUUGCUCUUUUUUGCCAUCUUCCAUAUGGCUAAUUCUGCUUUCCAGCUU
rnacentral:lncRNA from 1 species